rnacentral:rRNA from 1 species
UGCGCAGCAGUAGUAGGCCAGAUCGUGCUAGUCGACUCGGCGAUCGUGGCGGGUGCCGAGCGGCGAGACAACCCGGAUCGGGGGAGGCUACGGGGCCACGGGCCCUAUGCUAAUCCCGAGCGGAGCCCCUGGGGAGCGAUCCCCGGGCGGCCCGUGUAGAGCGCGCAAGGGGUGUCGGCGGGCCCGAUCGAAGGGCCCGCUUGAGGGGACGUGCCGUCCCCUGUGAAAACAGGUCGCAGUCUGGAGUGCCCGCCGCACGAAGGACCGCGAGCCCCCGGGCGAUGCUCGGGCGGUGGGACACGAAAACAACGGCCAGCAGCCGCGGUAAUUCCAGCUCCAAUAGCGUAUAUUAAAGUUGUUGCAGUUAAAAAGCUCGUAGUUGAACCUUGGGCCUGGCUGGCCGGUCCGCCGCAAGGCGUGCACUGGUCCGGCUGGGCUCCUCCUUCUGGGGAUCCCCAUGCCCUUCACUGGGCGUGGUGGGGAACCAGGACUUUUACUGUGAAAAAAUUAGAGUGUUCAAAGCAGGCCUUUGCUCGGAUACAUUAGCAUGGAAUAAUAGAAUAGGGCGGACCCCCUAUUUUGUUGGUUUCUAGGGGAGCCGCAAUGAUUAAUAGGGACAGUCGGGGGCAUCAGUAUUCAAUCGUCAGAGGUGAAAUUCUUGGAUCGAUUGAAGACUAACUACUGCGAAAGCAUUUGCCAAGGAUGUUUUCAUUAAUCAGGAACGAAAGUUAGGGGAUCGAAGACGAUCAGAUACCGUCGUAGUCUUAACCAUAAACUAUGCCGACUAGGGAUCGGAGGGGGUCUGCUAGAGCCCCCUUCGGCACCUUACGAGAAAUCAAAGUCUUUGGGUCUGGGGAGUAGCCACG